rnacentral:rRNA from 1 species
UACGAAGGGGGCUAGCGUUGUUCGGAAUUACUGGGCGUAAAGGGCGCGUAGGCGGCCUCGUCCGUCCGGCGUGAAAUGCCUGGGCUUAACCUAGGAAUUGCGCUCGAUACAGCGAGGCUAGAGUGUGGGAGAGGUUGGUGGAAUUCCCAGUGUAGAGGUGAAAUUCGUAGAUAUUGGGAAGAACACCGGUGGCGAAGGCGGCCAACUGGACCACAACUGACGCUGAGGCGCGAAAGCUAGGGGAGCAAACGGG